AUUGAACGCUGGCGGCAGGCUUAACACAUGCAAGUCGAGCGGAGAUGAGGUGCUUGCACCUUAUCUUAGCGGCGGACGGGUGAGUAAUGCUUAGGAAUCUGCCUAUUAGUGGGGGACAACAUUCCGAAAGGAAUGCUGAUACCGCAUACGCCCUACGGGGGAAAGCAGGGGAUCUUCGGACCUUGCGCUAAUAGAUGAGCCUAAGUCGGAUUAGCUAGUUGGUGGGGUAAAGGCCUACCAAGGCGACGAUCUGUAGCGGGUCUGAGAGGAUGAUCCGCCACACUGGGACUGAGACACGGCCCAGACUCCUACGGGAGGCAGCAGUGGGGAAUAUUGGACAAUGGGCGGAAGCCUGAUCCAGCCAUGCCGCGUGUGUGAAGAAGGCCUUAUGGUUGUAAAGCACUUUAAGCGAGGAGGAGGCUACUUUAGUUAAUACCUAGAGAUAGUGGACGUUACUCGCAGAAUAAGCACCGGCUAACUCUGUGCCAGCCGCCGCCGUAACAC
rnacentral:rRNA from 1 species